GACGAACCGAGCGAACGUUGUUCGGAAUCACUGGGCUUAAAGGGCGCGUAGGCGGGCUGUCAAGUCUGGGGUGAAAUCCCACGGCUCAACCGUGGAACUGCCUUAGAUACUGACGGCCUCGAGGGAGAUAGGGGCGAGCGGGAACUGUGAGUGGAGCGGUGAAAUGCGUUGAUAUUCACAGGAACUCCGGUGGCGAAGGCGGCUCGCUGGACUCUUUCUGACGCUGAGGCGCGAAAGCUAGGGGAGCAAACGGG
rnacentral:rRNA from 1 species